AGCGAGAACCUGCCCUUCGGGCCUGGGGAAAGCGGCGAACGGGUGAGUAACACGUGGGUAACCCACCCUUGGUACUGGGAUAGCCCGGGGAAACCCGGAUUAAUACCGGAUGGCCCAACAGCUCUUCGGGGCGGUUGGAAAAGGUAGCUUCGGCCUCCGACCAAGGACGGGCCCGCGGCGGAUUAGCUUGUUGGUGGGGUAACGGCCUACCAAGGCGACGAUCCGUAGCUGGUCUGAGAGGACGAUCAGCCACACUGGGACUGAGACACGGCCCAUACUCCUACGGGAGGCAGCAGUGGGGAAUCUUGCGCAAUGGGCGAAAGCCUGACGCAGCGACGCCGCGUGGGGGAAGAAGGCUUUCGGGUUGUAAACCCCUUUCAGGAAGGACGAAGCCACUCGGGUGAAUAGCCCAGAGGGUGACGGUACUUCCAGAAGAAGCCCCGGCUAACUACGUGCCAGUCAGCCGCGGUAAUACGUAGGGGGCAAGCGUUGUCCGGAUUUAUUGGGCGUAAAGAGCGUGUAGGCGGUCUGGUAGGUCCGUUGUGAAAACUCGAGGCU
rnacentral:rRNA from 1 species